rnacentral:rRNA from 1 species
AUACGAAGGGGGCUAGCGUUGUUCGGAAUCACUGGGCGUAAAGCGCGCGUAGGUGGAUCAAUUAGUUGAGGGUGAAAUCCCGGGGCUCAACCUCGGAACUGCCUUCAAUACUGUUGAUCUUGAGACCGAGAGAGGUGAGUGGAAUUCCUAGUGUAGAGGUGAAAUUCGUAGAUAUUAGGAAGAACACCAGUGGCGAAGGCGGCUCACUGGCUCGGUACUGACGCUGAGGUGCGAAAGCGUGGGGAGCAAACAGGAUUAGAAACCCCUGUAGUCC